UGGGGAAUAUUGGGCAAUGGAGGAAACUCUGACCCAGCGACGCCGCGUGCGGGAUGAAGGCCUUCGGGUUGUAAACCGCUUUCAGCAAGGAAGAAGCGAAAGUGACGGUACUUGCAGAAGAAGCACCGGCUAACUAUGUGCCAGCAGCCGCGGUAAUACAUAGGGUGCAAGCGUUGUCCGGAAUUAUUGGGCGUAAAGAGCUCGUAGGUGGUUCGUCACGUCGGAUGUGAAAAUCUGGGGCUUAACCCCAGACCUGCAUUCGAUACGGGCGAGCUAGAGUGUGGUAGGGGAGACUGGAAUUCCUGGUGUAGCGGUGGAAUGCGCAGAUAUCAGGAGGAACACCAAUGGCGAAGGCAGGUCUCUGGGCCAUUACUGACACUGAGGAGCGAAAGCGUGGGGAGCGAACAGGAUUA
rnacentral:rRNA from 1 species